rnacentral:rRNA from 1 species
AGCCUACUCUAGCCCACCCUUCCACUAACAUGAACUAGCAACCCUCACCUCAAAAAGUAAAACAUUUGCUUUAUCCUAGUAUAGGUGAUAGAAAGGUACCUCAAGGAGCGAUAGAGACCACGUACCGUAAGGGAAAGAUGAAAUAAUAAUGAAAAUCCAAGCACCAAGUAGCAAAGACCAACUCUUGUACCUUUUGCAUCAUGAUUUAGCAAGAACUAACCAAGCAAAAUGCUAAUUUAAGCUUGCCCCCCCGAAACCCGCGCGAGCUACUCACGAGCAGCUAUAUUGAGCAAACCCGUCUCUGUUGCAAAAGAGUGGGAUGACUCGUUAGUAGAGGUGAAAAGCCAACCGAGCCAGGUGAUAGCUGGUUGCCUAUGAAACGAAUCUUAGUUCACCCUCAAUUCUUCUCUAAGGACCAUAUCAUAACCCACACGAAGCAAAUCGAGGGCUACUUAAAGGAGGUACAGCUCCUUUAAAAAGGAUACACUCUUCCCUAGCGGAUAAGCAUCCCCAUAAUCUAACUGUGGGCCUUAAAGCAGCCACCACCAAAGAAUGCGUCAAAGCUCGACCAUUAAAAAUUCAAAUGCCCCACGACUCCCUUAUCCCCAAUAGGCUAACUUAUACUAAUAAGAGAAUUUAUGCUAAAAUGAGUAACUAAGGGUUCCCCUCUAUGGCGCAAGCUUACAUCUUUACAUUAUUAACAAACCUCAAGAUACUUACUAACCCAACAAGACUCAGUAUCAUUUAGCUUGUUAACCCACCCACGGAGCGCCUCAAAGAAAGAUUAAAAUCUGUAAAAGGAACUAGGCAAACAUAAGGCCCGACUGUUUACCAAAAACAUAGCCUCCAGCAAUCCAAGUAUUGGAGGUGAAGCCUGCCCAGUGACAACAAGUUCAACGGCCGCGGUAUCCUAACCGUGCGAAGGUAGCGCAAUCAAUUGUCCCAUAAAUCGAGACAUGUAUGAAUGGCUAAACGAGGUCUUAACUGUCUCUUACAGAUAAUCAGUGAAAUUGAUCUUCCUGUGCAAAAGCAGGAAUCAUAACAUAAGACAAGAAGACCCUGUGGAACUUCAAAAUCAACAGCCAUUCCCACACACCAUUCCCCCUAUUCAUGGACCACUCCCCGGGAUCUUACUGGCCUGUAUUUUUUGGUUGGGGCGACCUUGGAGAAAAACAAAUCCUCCAAAGAUUAGACCAUCCCUCUAUACCAAGAACAACCUAUCUACGUGCUAACAGUAUCCAGACCCAAUACCAUUGAUUAAUGAACCUAGCUACCCCAGGGAUAACAGCGCAAUCUCCCCCAAGAGCCCCAAUCGACAGGGAGGUUUACGACCUCGAUGUUGGAUCAGGACAUCCUAGUGGUGUAGCCGCUACUAAGGGUUCGUUUGUUCAACGAUUAACAGUCCUACGUGAUCUGAGUUCAGACCGGAGCAAUCCAGGUCGGUUUCUAUCUAUGAUAAACUCCUUCCAGUACGAAAGGACAGAAAGAGUAAGGCCAAUACUACAAGCACGCCUUCGCCCAAAGAUAUGAACUCAACUUAAUUUCUUAGGGCCAAAUCCCUCCCCUCCUAAAAAAGGACU